AAAAUAACCUAAACCAAGAAAUAAGAAUUAACAACAUUAACAAGUUAAGAACUUGGCCCAAAAUGACCGGAACGCUGUCUGCUUAAUCAAGAAUUAUUAAAAUAUAUAAGCAUAUUAAAUUGUGAAAGCUAUAGGAGAAUAUGCAAGAGUCACAUGGAACAUUUUGAGUACGAAGUUAUUACUAAUGAAUCCAUUAAAAUGACAAAUAUGUAGAAAUAAGAAAAAUUUACGUUAUAACUUCUAAGACACAUUCUCACUUUCAAUUAACAAAAAAAAGUAUUCUCCUCAUUCUUCUUUGUUUCGUAAUUAAACCAAACUGUCCAGUUACACAGACAAGUAAAAUAUAAAAUAUAUAGUGUCUUCUUCUCCGGCUGGCUGUUUAUCUCACCUCUUCCAUGAGGGAUUCCGUCGCUUUCUCUUCUUUCGAUUGAUGUUCUCUCCGUUUGGUCUCUCUGAUGCAAUUGUUUGUAGAUCUGGGAGUUCGUUGUUCCGUGUUGAAGUUAGCAACAGUGAUUUCUUCUCUGGUGUGUAGUGGUCGGUUUUCGUUCUCGUUCGGUAGUCUCCCUUUCCUCACUCAAUCUGUUCUCCUCUCGCUCAAGGACGGUGGCUGAGUUCAGGUCUUAUGUAUAUCAUAUGUGCUAUAUAUUUUUAAAUAUUAAAAAAGAAUGGUAAGAUGAUUGAAAAUAUUAGAAUCUUGUCUACGAAAACACAUCCACAAAUCUUAAUCCACGAAACUUCGUCCACGAAACUUUGUAAGAUUUGGAAUUUUUUCCAAAAUUAGAUGUGGAGACAAACAUGUACAUAUGAACAUAUCCACAUAAUUUACUACUCUAUUCUCGGAUACUACUAUUUUUGUUCUUUGAUAUAAAUUGUCCUCAACUCAUUCAUUCGAAACCACCGUCUACAACUCAUUCGUUCAAAUUUCACCGUCCACAACAUAUCGUCCACGCUACUUUGUCCACUUAAUUAAAUUUUAAUUAUUCUAAAAUAUAAAAUAUCAAAAUAAAUAUAUACAUAUGGAUCUCAAAAUAUAGAGGAAAAGAAUAAUUUAUUAUAUAUAUAUAUAUAUAUAUAUAUAUAUAUAUAUCAGCUUAUAUAUCGUAGUAUCAGAUAAUAACAAAUAAAAUCCGCUGGAAACAAAAAAAAUAAAAAAGAGAACCUUUAAAUCGUUAGAGACUAAAAAAGAAUAAUUGAAAAAAAAACUAUUUUCAAAUCUCUUAGAAAAAAACAAGUACAUCUCAUAUAAGCCAAUAGAUCUGCUUUUUUUUUCUAAAUCGACGUUCCUCAGCAGAGCACAAUUUUCAUGACACCUACCAUAUAAAUCUACUAACUAAACAAUUCUAACGAAAUACAAACUAAACAACUAACUACUUUUACACUUCAAUGACCGUGAGAAUGACACUUUAGACACACAUAGAAGGCAUUUUCGUCUCAUUCACACUUCGGUUUCGUAAAAAGGAGGUGGAAAGUGUCCCUUGAGCACAAAGUGACUGAUAUUGUUAAAAAGAUAGAAAAGUGCCUCGUAAUGUAAUUUACUCUAGAAAUAAAGUAACUCAGAAAGUAAAAAGCAUAAAAGAUAAAUUACAACAAAAUAAUCCACGAAACAGAAAUAUGAUGAGUAUUAUCUAAAACAGACACUUUUAAAUACCAUAUUCAAGUAGAAUAAUUUUAAGAGAGAUCCAAUAUUAUACAAUUAUUUUGUUUCUCUGCUUAAGAGCUCAACUUCUAAAUUCCAGCCUCCUACUCUUAUUUUGGUUGAAGAUUUAAAGAUUAUCGCAUAUUGAAAUCAAGUCCACUGAUAGAUACACAAAUCCACUCUUAGUCUUCAAUACUUGCAGAUGUUCCGAUGAAAACUAUGUUUCUUUGUUUUAGAGCUCCGCUCAAAUAUAGGAGAUUGGAAAUCCUUCUGAACGUGUUUUUCUUGUGCCAUUUGAUCUCAUACCUGAUGAAAAUAUUGAUGCGGCAAGUUCGAGUUCUAGGACUUUAUCCAUGCUCGAUUUCAUGGGGAUGUUCCUCCUAUGGGUCGGAUAAUUGGUAUGGCUAACGCAGUGUGGGGUAAAUCAGGUAGAUUUUUUGUAACGCCCCGACCGUCCAUGGCUAAUGGGCCACCCACACUCAAUCGGCCCGUGGGCUCCAUCCCAUAUGACGGGCUGUGCGUUAAUUUUCCAAGGCCCAAAAGUCUUGUUUACUGACCCUGCAAUCAUCAUAUGACAUUUCUCCGUUCUUUUGGCCUCACUCACACGGUAUCGCGAAUCACUUCCUGAUAGCUCAUUCAUCCUUCCACUACUCCAGCUCAAACACGUUUAACUCUGGAGUUCUAAACGGAUGUGUGACGGAAAAGGUAAGUCAACUUUGGUGACAUACGUAACCAAAUCAAUCAUCUAAGCAUUUCAAUAUAUCACAACUCAGAAUGUUACAAUUCACCCCCUCUCAAAGAACGCAACGUCCUCGUUGAGCCCCACGAUAGGUCUCAAGACACCUCACGGGUCAGAACCAAGAUGGCUAACCAUCUCAGAUACCACUUGUAACGCCCCGACCGCCCACAGCUAAUGGGCCACGCACGCCCGCUAGCUCACUCGGCCCGUGGGCCUCAUCCCAUCUGACGGGUGGUGUGUUAAUUUUCCAAGGCCCGAAAGUCUUGUUUACUGACCAUGCAAUCACCACAUGACCUUUCCCCAUGCUUUUGGCCUCACUUCCCGAUAGGUCACCCAUCUUUCUACUAAUCCAGCUCAAGCACGCUUAACUGUGGAGUUCUAAACGGAUGUGUGACGAAAAAAGUAAGUCAACUUUGGUAACACAGGUACACAAAUCAAUCAUCUUAAGCCUUUCAAUAUCAUAACUCGGGAUGUUACAUUUUUGUCCACAACAUUGGCCAUGGAUGUUUCCUUUUCCGAGUUACGAAUGCUAGAACAAGAGAGACUUUUCUCUCUGACACUAGCUGGAAUAUUGCAGGCUCACCAAUGUGUGGGUUCCAUGAUCUUCUGGUUUCUCACCGGAUGAAGCCCUACUUACUAGUGUUGUCGUCCAGUGGAGAUGCAAAAUGUUCUUUAUCUACUUUCCAACAACGGAGGCUUGAUUAGAAACAAAGAAAAAAUAUAAAUUUCAAGAGGCAAAGAUGUAUAUCAAAGUUGAUCUCCCUAAAAGACUUACUCAUACGGUUGCUUUGGUUUCUCCAAUGAUAGAGAGGUUCUUAUAGAGGUUUCAUACCCAUGGUUCCUUGUUAAAUGUGAGUCAUUCUUGAAGUACGACCACAAAAGGAGGAAUGUUGGGCGGGUAUUCUAAAGGAUCUCUUGAGAAAAGCUUUGCUAGGGAAUUUAUUACGGAAACAUCUAGGAAACGUUUUAAGUUCAUAAAAGGAAGAUCAAGAGGUUUCCGAGGCAGAGAGAGUUAUAACCACAACAACUCAGUACUUGAAGAAGAGGCAUUAGGUGGAGUGAAAGACGUUCAGGUCUAUGAAAAAGCUGUACUAGGCUAGUUGAUGUGCUAGAGAUAAAUUAUAUCACGGAACAGAGGCAGACCCACCGCGAACAAAGGGGAGUCAGCUGCCACAGGUUAAAAAUAUAUUUUAUCAAGUUUGUUAUUUGGUGUGAAAAUCUCGUAGCUCAUUGGUCUGUCUCUUCCCCAUCUGACCCAUUUUUAAUUGUUCAACCUGAGUUCGAAUCUUUCUUUUGCACCUCUUUUUAAAAUUUUCUCUUUAUUUUAAUUUAAAGCUGGGCCAAGCCCAAUUAAUGACACCUCUAAAAUAUAAUCAUGGUUUUUAUUUCAAAAAGAUCAUAUUUUAUAUUUCCAAUGUAAUUUUUAUCAACUAAUAAUGAUAAAUUGUGAAGUUCAAAAAUAUUAAUUGCAUUUAUUAAAAUCUUAUUGAUUUAAAAAUAUAGAAAAUAUAAAAUUACAAAAAACUACACAUUUAUAACUAAGUUUUAAUAUGUUUUAUUAAAAAGUGUGAAAAUUCUAAAACAUGAAUCUUUUAGGAACGGAUGGAGUAUAUAAUUAUUUCACACGGUUGAAACCGUAACCCACUAGUUUUAGUUGAGCUGCUUUAUUUUUUAUUUAUUUUUUGGGUGGCUUGGAGGUUUCAAUAUUUUUGUAAAUUUAUGAUUGGCUUUGUUUUUUUACAAAAAUAAAAUAAAAAUUGUUGUGUGGGGUGGUACGUAUUGAUAUAAAUUCCAUUGCCGGCACAAAAUCUGCGAGAUCGAACGUGCUAUGGUUCAUACCCGCAUGUCAUAUUUACGUGUGACGUGCCCAUAUCUCAACCUGUGAGGUACAUCACGUCAUCAACUUCAAGUACAGCACCCCAGUUUGGUCCCAAGUUCCAGUUAUGAUAACUGAACUGAGUCGGCCCAAACGUGUCCGAAAUGUGUUCCUUUUUUUUCGAGAAAGGUUAGAAAUGUGUUCUUUACGUCAAUCGGUCAAUGUAAAAGAAAAAAACUCCAAAUUUAUUUUAAAUAAAUAGCACUAAUAUAGUAUCACUACUAUAUAAAAAGAGCUAUUUUUUGAGCUUCUAAAGGGUGCCACAUGGGCAGAAAUAUUUCCCACCAAUCAAUCUGCCAUGUCACUACGGGCCGGGUCACAAACCAAUUUCAAGUUCCGGUCCAAACUUGUCCCAUUCCUGCCCAACCUCAGAUGCUUCUUAUUAUAUGUGGGACCCACUAUGUACUUACUAACUUAAAAAAUUGUAUGAGGUUGUUUCUGGGCCAUAAGUUUGAUUUACAAUGGUAAUCCUUAGCCCAUUAAAAAGACACUCAAGGCAUCGUCCGCUCUGAUCUAGGGUUUCCAAAACUAAUUUUCCGCCCCCCCCCCCCCCCCCCCCCCUUACUUUAAGAUACGUUAAUCGGUAUUCAUGGCAGUCUUAAUUUUCUACACCCCUUCCAUCUUCCUUAUGAUACCCUUAAUGACUCCCCUGUUUCAAAACAUCAGCCAUAGCCCUCUCUAUAUAAAGUCGAUCCUCGAGACCGGGAUUAAACAUCGCAACUCCAAUCCCUGCUUUCGUCAUCCGAAGUGGCUUAUAUUAUAGACGUGAAAAUGUCUUCCUUUGCUGUUUUUGGUGCUCAAUCAGCCGGUCCCCACGCUACUUUCUACGAUCUCCGCCUUUGUCGGUCUACUCAAGUCGUUGUCGGCCGUCUCUUAUGCUUUUGGGAUUCCGGCAAUAUCAAUAAGAAUGGCGAGUUCAUGGGUAGCACCAUACUCUUCCUAGAUGAAAAGAUGAACAUGUAUGUACAUCUACUCUUUUAGAUUAAUGAUUUACCUAGGAGUUUCUUGAUCUGGAGUGUAAAAUUAUAAUUACCAAAAACCCUUAUGUCAGUUUGUGAGAUUUGAACGCAGCUGAUGUAACUUUGUCUAGAAUAUAUAUUUAUGCUAAAUCUGCUGCUCAAAGGUAUAGUCAUUUCAAUAUGUAUCACUCAUUUGUAACCUAAACUAAAACAUACUUGCUCUUUUCAUGGUAACUAUAUCUGAACUCCACUCCGGCCACCAAGUUCUACUUUGACACCACAAUCCCCGCCAUUGAAGCAUUCACAGAGAGCUUGGGAGGUGCAGCAGGAGAGGUUUUUACACGGGUAGAAACCAUGGGAGGUAUUAGAAAGAAAGAACUUGUGACAAUUGGUGAUAUUCAUACCUACCUGUCCAACUCCAACGCCCAGAGCCAGGAAGCUGAUUUCCUCUACAAAGCUAGGAUUGUCGGCAUCCUCCAACAGAAUGGUUGGGCUCAUGUCUCUUGCACCGGUUGCAGCAAGAAGCUGGACAAAUAUGGCACCUCAUGUGUUUCACUCAUGUCCAUGUCCAAAAAUUCCGUGUAGAGCUCGCCGUUGAAGAUGGCAAAGACAAUGCAAACGUUUGUGGUCUUUGAUACCGAGAUGUCUAAACUCACCAAAACGGAAGCAGCAACACUAGCUCUUGAGGAGAUUAACAGCGUUGGAGGUCCAGAGCUACCUUGAUGCCUUGAAGAACUAGCUGGGAAUCAAUAUGUUUUCCACAUACGUGUCACUCCCUUCAACUUCACCUCCAACCACCGUACCUUCACUGUGUCUUGCUUGACCCUCUGACCGAGAGACCCGAGGCUGAAAGGGCUCCAGGGGGAGAUGUCCACACAUGACAAGCACCGUCAUCUGCUACCGACACUGGUGGUCUUUCCGGCAAGGCGAAGGAAGUUGAUGACACGAAUCUACCUUCUGAGAAAAAGAAGAAUCGGAAGCUGACCCCGUGAGUGAUUGGUGCAACUCCACAAAACCGUCAACCCACUUAGCUUUCCUGCAUUUUCAAUUUACUAAAUUGCUAUGUAUUUCGGAUUUCUGAGUUUUCGUUUUCUUUUCAAUUAUCUGCAAACUAUCAUUCACUGGUUUAACAUGUACUUUUUAAUUAAAUUAUGGGGAACGUUGGCGAGUA